GUAUGUCAGUAGUUUUGAAAGUUCGAAUGAGCAUCGGUCGGUAACUCUGAUAUGCCGACGGUUAUCGGUCUGAAAUCGAUCGAGUCGUCAUAGUUAGAGUUUGUCAAAUUUGCAGAUAGCCGACUGUCAGUCGGCUAACCGAUUGAUAGUCAACAGAUCGUGCUUAUCAGGCUGAUGAAAAGUCAGAAUCGGAGAGUCGGCUGAAUUGCCCCAAC
rnacentral:lncRNA from 1 species